AGGUACAUGGCUUAGUGGUUAGGGCAUUUGGUUCAUGAUCGUAAGGUCAUGAGUUCAAUUCCACAUUGUGUCCU
rnacentral:tRNA from 1 species